rnacentral:lncRNA from 1 species
UGGCAGCUUCAGUCAUUGGGCAGCCCUCUCUGCGUGGCUGCGCUCAGUCUGCGCAGUGUUUCAGGGACGGACGCUGCGGCGUAAACACCGCGGAGCUUAGCGGGGAGCAGCAGCGCUGCCGGUCCGCCGGUCCCCCGUUCCCGGUACUUUCUUCCGCCCGCUGCCGCUUUAAGGCGCUGUAGCUCGGGCUGUACCGCCUUAAUAAUGUCGGUGUCAAUCUGGCACGACGCUGAGCCCGAGAAGUGUCCCGUUUUAGCUCAGAGCUAACGAUCGCUAUGUGACUGAAUGGAGGGAGCCGGACCGCGCUGGCGUUAGUUAGCGGAGCUUCUACUCAGCCGUGCCCGGGAGGAACGUCACCAUCCCCGGCCUCGCCGCUGCUACUGUCCCCUGCUUCCCCUGCUCCAGCUGCCCGUCCAAACAAGCAGGAUUUAUGGAAUCCAUCCGGGAGAGGGGAGCAAUAAUAUGUCAAGACGAAAACAGACCAACCCUUUCAAAGUGAAUUGGCCGUUUCACAUGACCGGGUUCUCUGGCCCACAGCACACUUCAGAGAUGGAGGCUCGAAACGAGUUUGCAGAAAACCCAGCGUGCCACAGCAACGACUCCCCUGACCUCGACGAGCAGGACAACAUAACCGAUGAUAGCGACAGUGACCUGGAUAAAGAGAACUCCUCCAGCUCAUCAGUUGAUGACAACAUGACGAGUAGGGGGAGCCAGUGUUCCUUUCAUGGAGACGUGAAGGAGUGAUUUGAUUGUUCACACAAGAAGUAGAUACACAGCGCUGUCUCUGUGUCUGUGUGAGUGACAGCCUGCUGCUGCCUGAGAAGCACAAGGGGGCCAGGGGUGGAGUGAGGAGUAAACACGAGGUAACCGCAUGGCCACAUCCACAUGGUUGGGCACGUGCUAGUAACAUCCAACACCCUGACCUCGCCAAGACCUCCCUUGUCGAAGAAUACAAUAAAAUAUUCACUGCAGUGCUUUUAAUUCUACGU